rnacentral:lncRNA from 1 species
CAUGAUGAUUUAUAUUUUUAUAUUUUGAAAGACAGAGAAGCUUCAUGUAUGCAGCUGAUGUGCAUUCUCUGAUAGCGUUUGAGUAUCAAGCAGUGGCAUUCUUGGAUGUGCUUGCCAUGCUCCUGCCCAUGCCCCAAAUCCAAAGCAUGGAUUGGGGCAUGGGGCAUGAAAAACUUCCUUUUUUCAGCCAAAAAUCCCUACUUUCCCUUUGGGAGUUUGUGAUUUUGAGAAAGACAGGCAGAUUUUUUUUCUUAUUUUUACAGCCCAGUUUUCUGACUCUUGUCCCUAUUAGGGGUUUAAGGAUGAGUAGAAGUGAUUAAUAUGACACUUCAUUUAAAAGACUUCUUUACCAUGAAAUCUCUACAUUUGGAAGUCUAUAAUCACUAAAUAUAAACAUCAACUCUCACUUUGUGUCUAUAUGUGGGCCUAAAAAUGCGGUUCUGUUUCCAGCUGAGACAGAUGAAUGUCAUAAAUACUCUGUGUAGGAUGCAGGGCAAAAAUAUUACAACAAAACCUAAACAAACCUAAAGCAUGAAACCAAACAUUUUGUACACUUACAUUAAAAUUAUAUUGAAAAUUGGGAGCAUGAACUACAAAACUAGGCUUCUUUCUGUUUUACAAACUGCAACGUCUGUUAAGAAAAACUAAAGCAUAAUUGCAAAUUGGAAUUUCCUGCCUAUUCUUAAAUCGACAUUUGUGUUUUUCUCUUAUCUUCUCCCACAUGUAAAUGCAGCAGCUUCCUAACCCUCUUGUUAUAUAUCACAUUCAAUGUAACAGUUUAGCAAAUUCUCCAAUUGUGUUGGUGUUUGCUUUCACAGACAUGGAAAGCAAUUUGAUGUGUCCUUUUAAUGAGUCAUUUUCAAGCAAGGAGAAAAACAGUGGUUGGGAAUUCAAGAGAAACACCUGGCUUUACCAAGACAAGAAUCUGGAUUUAAAUCCAAGUACUAAAUCCAUCCAGGAGGAGACCACACCAGUCCAAUUGCCCUGUAAAGAUGGUGUGUGUAAUGUGCCAGCAACAAAUAUUGGAAGACAUCCUGCCACUCUGUGUCCUGUGUGAUUAGUAACAUGUAAGAACUGGGUCCAUGAAGCUGGUUUUUCUAUUUCCCUCAGAAUUCUCUGAUACAAAUUCAUCUUUCAGUUUGCAGCCUUUGAGAACCCCUCCACAGUAAAGCUCACAAACAUUUCUUUUGUAGAUUUUCUUUGCAUCUUAUAAAGCCUAGUCUUAAAAAGAAGUAUGAAACAGAGCUAGGUUUUUCUUCCUUCCUUGUCAGUAAAAGGGUACAAGCAUUGCCUCAAUUUUUCAGUUACUCUGUAAAUAAUGUCUCACUGCAUUUUUUUAGGAGUAUAUAAAUGUGCUUAGCUUUGGUAUCCUAAUGUACACAGCAUACUCUGCUGAGAGAUCAAGGCAAGUUCAUGCCUCAUCUUCAAACUUGCUAACGCUUUAGGAAAAUGACUGUUACAAAUACAUUGUAACAUAUUGUUACAAUAUAUUGUUGUACAAUAUACAACAUAUAUUGUUGUAUAAUAUACAACAUAUGUUGUAAGAAACUGUUACUGGGGAAUAUAAGUUCACACAGAAAUUACCAGCAACAUUUUCCCUUUGCUUGUCAUCAUUGUGAAUAACAAACACUGUCAAAGUAGAAGAGCAAGAUGACAUGAUACCAUAUAAAAUGACACUACCAAAAACAUACCUGUAAAUGAAAGCUUUGAGAAAGUGCUAUAUUUUUUAAUAGGGAAUAUAGAUCACUUGAAUGAAUAUGCAAUAUUCUCUGAGGUUUGAAUUAAAUAAAGACUUUCAUAAUUACCCCA